AGGUUCACCAUGUAUUACAUAGACCAAAGAAAGAUUGUGUGAAACAAUUUGAGAUCUCAUCUAACACCAAACCAAAAAGAUCAUUUGGAAAGAACUGCCAAAACCCAAUUUUGUUUUUUUGUUUCCCAUUCCCUCUUUUGAUAUUUCUGAUCCAAGAAUUGAACAAACUCUGUCACAAUCACAUCUUUUAUGGGUUUUUACAGCUAAGGUUGUAGUUGAAAAAAUUGACACAUAGAUAGAAGGACCACAGAGAUUGAACAUAUGCCAUAUUCUUUGAACUCACAAAUUUAUUUAUUGUUGUCUAGGGACACAACUGUUUCUUCAACUCUGCCCAUACACAUUUGGUUUCUUUCUUUUCUUUGGAAUUUUGCUACAUAUUCAUAGUCUCCAUGCCUUAUAGUGUUUGUGAAUAUGUAAAGCGUCAAUCAAUCAACUUUGCCUCAAUUCAAAUUACUUGGAGUUAGCUAUAUGAAUCCUCAGUGACAGGUGUAAAAAUUUAGGAACUUGUUGAAUAAAUACAUUCCAAAUUCCUAGACAUUAUUUGUACAAACCCCAUAUUCAUGUAAUUGCAUGAGAAAAACAUGGUUAUGUUGUGCUGUAGGCCUUCUGUAAAGGGGGAUGGUAGCCGACGAGGGGGAGAUCCAAACGGCAGGUUUAAAGGAUUAAUGUGGUAUAAGGAUUUGGAAGUUCAUGCAAAUGGAGAAUUUUCCAUGGCAGUAGUACAAGCCAAUAAUUUGAUGGAAGAUCAGAGUCAGUUGGAAUCAGGGCCGUUAAGUUCUGUGAAAUUAGGACCUCAUGGAACAUUUGUUGGUGUCUAUGAUGGACAUGGAGGACCAGAGACAUCGCGGUUUAUAAACAACGCUCUGUUCUCCAAUCUCAAGGAAUUUGCAUCAGAGCAUCAAGAAAUUUCUGCUGAUACCGUAAGAAAAGCUUUCUUGAAAACCGAAGAGGAGUUUCUGUCACUUGUAAAGAGACAAUGGCAUGAGAAGCCACAGAUUGUAACAGUAGGAUCAUGUUGCUUGGCCGGCAUAAUAUGUAGUGGACUACUAUAUAUUGCCAAUGUUGGAGAUUCACGUGCAGUGCUAGGCAGAGUAGAUAAAGCUGCAAAGAGUGUAACAGCCAUUCAAUUGUCAACAGAACACAAUGCUAGUAUUGAAUCCGUGAGAGAUGAGCUUCGCGCGUUGCAUCCUCAGGAUUCGCGGAUCGUGGUUCUCAAACAUAACGUUUGGCGUGUGAAAGGUCUUAUACAAGUUUCAAGGUCCAUUGGUGAUGCAUAUCUUAAGAAGUCAGAGUUCAACCAGGCACCAUUAUUGGCAAGAUUUAGGUUGCCUGAACCAUUCACGGAACCAAUCCUCAGCGCGGAGCCAUCAAUAUCCGUUCACAAACUCAGUUCCAAGGAUCAAUUCGUCAUCUUUGCUUCAGAUGGUUUGUGGGACCAUCUUAGCAACCAAGAGGCUGUUGACAUUGUCCACAAUCAUCCCAGAAAUGGAAUUGCCAGAAGACUUAUCAAAGCUGCUCUACAUGUAGCAGCCAAGAAAAGAGAAAUGCGAUAUUCGGACCUAAAAAAGAUCGAUCGAGGCGUAAGAAGGCACUUCCAUGAUGAUAUUACAGUUGUAGUUGUGUUUAUUGAUCCAUAUUCCAUGAAUAGAAGUUCUUCUCGCAGUUCGAUUCUCUCAAUUCGAGGAGGCACUCCCUCCUCUCCAAAACUGUAGUUCCAACACCUUCCAAAUGAACCAUUUCGGUUAAUCCACUUGGGAAUUGCGGAAUAUGUUCCCCUACGCCCAGCGUCCACCCAGAGGCGGAACCAAAAUUUGAAGUUUAUGAGUUCUGAACUUGUCAUCGAAGCAAAAAUUACUGAAUUCGUCUGAACUCGUUUCUAAUCAGCAGCAAAAGAAGAUGGCAGAGCUUCUGUUUCUGAGGCCUCAAAAUGUCUUAUUGUCUUCUUUCAUUUGUUUGUAGUUUAGGGGUUGAAAAGUGUUGUUCCCUUCAUUGUUUUUAAUUAAUGGUUACUUCCUGAGUAACCAAAAAA